AUGUCUGCUAUCAGCUGAUUCAUGGCUGAUGUGUUAGAAGUUUUACUUACUUUUUUCACUAUUGCUGUCGCACUGAUCGCAGUUAUACUCUUUAUUGGUUGUGGAUGGUAUCUAGUAUGGAAACUUUUCUUAUCAAAAUUUAAGUUUGUUCAAGAACUUCUUGGGAAAAAUGAAGGAGAUAGUGUGGAGAUGACACCAAAGAAACCAAGGGCAAAGGUCAGGAGAGAUUAGUUUGAAGAUUCAAGAGACAGAGUGAUGGAUGCAUCUAUUUUUAAUUUGGAUGACAGAUCCAGCGUGAUUAUGCCAAACAGUAUUCCACGGAUACUGUACAUGUACAAUGCAUUUUCUUGAAAGAUUAAUGUUACAGUAAAGCAAUAAAAAUGUGCAAAACCAAGAUUGGUGUAAAGCAGUACAUUAUUAUGUGUAUAGCUAUGUGGAGUAUUCUGACUAGAAUAGAUAUAGACAUAACAUAAACAUUCAUGCUUUCAUGUCCAGUUUCUGUUAGUCUAAACAGACAGGAAUAUGGUUGCAUUGUAUUGUAUAAUUAUGGUGCACAUUCCGGGCUAUAUUAAAUAUUGUGUUAAUAUAUUUUUAAAUAUAAAAAAUGUUCUUUUUUUUUAAUAAGAUUGUUUGGAGUUCCAUAUUUAAAACUGUGUUUAUAAUAAAUCUUAAAGACUUGCAAUGCAAGCAACUUAACAAUCCUCAUUGAUUUGUACCUCAAGAAUUUAUGUGUUAAUUGAAGGAGGACACUCCAUUGUUGUAUGUUGGAUAGCUCAUUAGAAUAAAUGUCAGUGAAAGAUGCAA